rnacentral:rRNA from 1 species
AUUGAACGCUGGCGGCAGGCUUAACACAUGCAAGUCGAGCGGAGAUGAGGUGCUUGCACCCUAUCUUAGCGGCGGACGGGUGAGUAAUGCUUAGGAAUCUGCCUAUUAGUGGGGGACAACAUUCCGAAAGGAAUGCUAAUACCGCAUACGUCCUACGGGAGAAAGCAGGGGAUCUUCGGACCUUGCGCUAAUAGAUGAGCCUAAGUCGGAUUAGCUAGUUGGUGGGGUAAAGGCCUACCAAGGCGACGAUCUGUAGCGGGUCUGAGAGGAUGGUCCGCCACACUGGGACUGAGACACGGCCCAGACUCCUACGGGAGGCAGCAGUGGGGAAUAUUGGACAAUGGGGGGAACCCUGAUCCAGCCACGCCGCGUGUGUGAAGAAGGCCUUAUGGUUGUAAAGCACUUUAAGCGAGGAGGAGGCUACUGAGACUAAUACUCUUGGAUAGUGGACGUUACUCGCAGAAUAAGCACCGGCUAACUCUGUGCCAGCCGCCGCAGUAAGAC